rnacentral:misc_RNA from 1 species
UUUCCGUAGGUGAACCUGCGGAAGGAUCAUUACAAGAGCGAGGGCCCUCGUGGCCCGAACCUCCAACCCCAUGUUGUCCGACUCUGUUGCCUCGGGGGCGACCCGGCCCUCCUGGGCGUCGGGGCCCCCGGUGGCUCACACCUCAACUCUUGCAUCUGUGCGUCUGAGUAACAUAUUGAAUCAAUCAAAACGUUCAACAACGGAUCUCUUGGUUCUGGCAUCGAUGAAGAACGCAGC